UACGGAGGGAGCUAGCGUUGUUCGGAAUUACUGGGCGUAAAGCGCACGUAGGCGGCUUUGUAAGUUAGAGGUGAAAGCCCGGGGCUCAACUCCGGAACUGCCUUUAAGACUGCAUCGCUUGAAUCCAGGAGAGGUGAGUGGAAAUUCCGAGUGUAGAGGUGAAAUUCGUAGAUAUCAGGGAGGAACACCGGUGGCGAAGGCGGGUC
rnacentral:rRNA from 1 species